AUUGAACGCUGGCGGCAGGCCUAACACAUGCAAGUCGAGCGGAUGACGGGAGCUUGCUCCUUGAUUCAGCGGCGGACGGGUGAGUAAUGCCUAGGAAUCUGCCUGGUAGUGGGGGACAACGUUUCGAAAGGAACGCUAAUACCGCAUACGUCCUACGGGAGAAAGCAGGGGACCUUCGGGCCUUGCGCUAUCAGAUGAGCCUAGGUCGGAUUAGCUAGUAGGUGAGGUAAUGGCUCACCUAGGCGACGAUCCGUAACUGGUCUGAGAGGAUGAUCAGGCACACUGGAACUGAGACAAGGGCCAGACUCCUACGGGAGGCAGCAGUGGGGAAUAUUGGACAAUGGGCGAAAGCCUGAUCCAGCCAUGCCGCGUGUGUGAAGAAGGUCUUCGGAUUGUAAAGCACUUUAAGUUGGGAGGAAGAGCAGUAAGUUAAUACCUUGCUGUUUUGACGUUACCGACAGAAUAAGCACCGGCUAACUCUGUGCCAGCAGCCGCGGUAA
rnacentral:rRNA from 1 species